UUACUCUGGUUUCUCUUCAUUUCGUAUAAAUCUUUCGCCUUUUACUAAAGAUUUCGGUGGAGAGGAACAAAUCCGAGUUUUAAGAAAUUUUUUGAGGCGCCAUUUCGGUGAGCU
ensembl:snRNA U5 U5 spliceosomal RNA